GACGAACGCUGGCGGCGUGCUUAACACAUGCAAGUCGAACGGAAAGGCCCGGCUCUUGUGGCGUGCUCGUGUGGCGAACGGGGGAGUAUCACGUGAGUAACCUCUCCCUGACUUUGUGAUAACUUCAGGAAACUGCGGCUCAUACCGGGUAGGAUCUCCUGCUGCAUGUUGUGGGUUGGAAAGUUUCGGCGGUUGGGGAUGGACUCGCGGCGUAUCAGCUAGGUGGGGGGGUUGGGGCUUACCAAGGGUUGGAAGGGUAGCCGGCCUGAGAGGGUGGCCGGCCAGACUGGGAGUGAGACACGGUACAGACGGAUACGGGAGGCAGCAGGAGGGAAUCUGCAGGAAAGGGCGGAAGCGUGACGGAGCAACGCCGCGUGAGGGAUGAAGGUCUUCGGAUCGUAAAACUCUGUUAUUAGGGGAGAACAAAUGUGUAAGUAACUAUGCACGUCGUGAAGGUAACUAGUCAGAGAGGCACGGCUAAAUACGUG
rnacentral:rRNA from 1 species